rnacentral:lncRNA from 1 species
CACAGUUUCUGAGAUGGCCUCAUUCAGUAUAAUGAAAGAUAAACUUGUUAGGGGAGCAGGCUGCCCUCAAAGAGCCAAGGAGGCUGGGGCUGCUCUGCACAGCAGACCUUGAGCAUGAGCCAGAGUUGGGUUGGAAGGGAACUGGAGGUAGGAGAUGUCCCCCCCAUCUGGGGGAUUUCUCUGCUUGUAGAGCAGGGAGUGAAGGAAAGGACGGGUUGCCCUUUGACAGCAGGAGGUCCAAGCAGGAUUGGAAACCUGUCAGUAUCUCUGCAUUGGUGGCUCCCUCCAUUUCCAGCUCAUUCAGUAAAAGCACAUUUCAGGAAAUCUGACAUUACUACCAAGGAAGUAUUGUCCACCAUGCAGGCUGAGCUGGUUCUUGCAAUCCUUUCACCUGCAGAAAGCCCCAGAUCCCUUUCCCAACCUGGAGGACUGAUGGCUUCAUUCUGCAAGGGCUGA